GUCCAUCUUCUUUUUGUUCUAGUGUUUCUUGUUUGUCGAUCAUUUUAUUUCGUAAAUGGGAUUUCAUUGAUUCAUCUUGAGAAUUUUGAUUGUUAAUUAACAGUGUACAAUGUCAUCAGUAUGGUCACGGAAAAUGGCGGUGCAAGACGAGUUUCCUUGAAAGUGGAUAUCCAAUCCUGUUUUCCGCCCGUGAAAAUCAAGUUUAAAGAUUCAGGAGCGCGGUAUGGCUCGCGUAAAACUUUAAGUGUACAUUGAGACUGGACGAGAAGACAGGCGGGAAUCGUGGAACGAAACAUUUGGAGAUUGCAACUCGACGAAUAAUCAAACUCUGGAUUGGUAGUCGAAAAGCAGAUUUAUUCGAAAGCAACGAUGCGACGUCGUUUCGUUUGAAAUCCCUCUUACGUUUGCUCCAAAGAGAGUUGAACUUCUUCCACUGUGAUUUUCUUUUAGUCCUCAGCAGCCUGUUAAAGUGAGGUACAGUACUUAUCCUUAUCGGACGAGUGGUAGAAGGGUAAUUUCACUA